UACAGACGGUGCGAGCGUUAAUCGGAAUUACUGGGCGUAAAGGGUGCGUAGGUGGUUUUGUAAGUUAGGUGUGAAAGUCCCGGGCUUAACCUGGGGAUUGCGCCUAAUACUGCAAAGCUAGAGUACUGUAGAGGAAAGUGGAAUUUCCAGUGUAGCGGUGAAAUGCGUAGAUAUUGGAAGGAACAUCAGUGGCGAAGGCGACUUUCUGGACAGAUACUGACACUGAGGCACGAAAGCGUGGGGAGCAAACAGG
rnacentral:rRNA from 1 species